CAGGGAUUUCUCUGAUUCUGCCUCUUCUGACUGUGCUGUGGUUUGCUUCUAGUUCUACUGGACUCCAGGCCCUGAAACAGAAGUGGCAAAAUGUGUCAUCUUGGCUGCCCCAUGGUUGGAGAGAGGAAGUUGGCUGGUUUUCUAUGGCCUAGCUCAUGGAACUGUGAGAACUGUGGAGCUAAAUCUUCAUGAAGUCUGGAUCUGGUUCCCUUCAGGUCCUGGAAGGCCCCAGUCAAGUCGUCCCAAAGAUUCUCUUCUCCAGACUGAACAAUCCCAAUUCUCCCAUC